UGGGGAAUUUUGCACAAUGGGGGAAACCCUGAUGCAGCGACGCCGCGUGAUUUAGAAGGCCUUCGGGUUGUAAAAAUCUUUUUUACGGGAUGAAAAUGACAGUACCGUAAGAAUAAGGUCCGGCUAAAUACGUGCCAGCAGCCGCGGUAAUACGUAUGGACCGAGCGUUGUCCGGAAUCAUUGGGCGUAAAGGGUACGUAGGCGGCCUAGUAAGUUAGAAGUGAAAUAAUAUAGCUCAACUAUAUAAAGCUUUUAAAACUGCUAGGCUUGAGAGAUGGAAGGGAAAGUGGAAUUCCUAGUGUAGCGGUGAAAUGCGCAGAUAUUAGGAAGAAUACCGGUGGCGAAGGCGAGUUUCUGGUCAUCAUCUGACGCUGAGGUACGAAAGCGUGGGUAGCAAACAGG
rnacentral:rRNA from 1 species